AACGAACGCUGGCGGCAGGCCUAACACAUGCAAGUCGAGCGCUUUCCUUCGGGAAGGAGCGGCGGACGGGUUAGUAACGCGUGGGAAUAUACCCAAAGGUAGGGAAUAGCCACUGGAAACGGUGAGUAAUACCCUAUGUGCCCUUCGGGGGAAAGAUUUAUCGCCUUUGGAUUAGCCCGCGUUGGAUUAGGUAGUUGGUGGGGUAAUGGCCUACCAAGCCUACGAUCCAUAGCUGGUUUGAGAGGAUGAUCAGCAACAUUGGGACUGAGACACGGCCCAG
rnacentral:rRNA from 1 species